rnacentral:lncRNA from 1 species
AAUAGGCAGGUGGAGGGGAGAGGUGAGCAGGUGGGCUGUUCCCAUUGCAGAAGCCCAUCCUGCCUCCUGGGACAUGAGGGAUCGUUUCUCAAAUACUACCAAAGUGAAGUGCAAAUAGAAUCGUGUCCCUCUCCCUCAUUCAACAGUUCCGUGGAUUCCCCACUGAUCUCAGGAGUCCAACAACACAGUUCCUCCACACGGUUCACCUGACGCUGGAUGGUCCAGCCCACCUGGACCUAUGCCUGCGUUUCCUUGACUAAGCUCUUCCUCCAAAAAGCCUUACCAGAUACCUAAGAACACUCUCUAUGUCCUGACACGGCUGGCCUCCUCGUCUGAGACAUCUCACUGUGCUGUAAAUGCUUGUUGAGAUAUCUGCCUCUCCCAGGAGACUCCGUGCUGCUGGAGGAAUCAGGUGGGGAAGGCAGUCUUCAGAGCAUUCACUCUGCCAUUCUCUGUGUCCGUCAUAGCAAUUUCUUCUCCAUGUUCAUGGAACACCUGUGGGCAGCACAGUUCCAGGCACUGGUUCUUUCAUUCCAUCAACACUGUUGGGGAGGCUACUUGGACCAGGCACUGUUCUAGGCAUUAUGGACAGAUCAUGAGUGAAAUGAAAGGAGUCCCAGACCCAGCUGGGUGGAGGUGACAGUGAUGAAGAAGUCACAUGUUGGUUGACAACUGCUGUGAACUGGCAACCGGCACCAUAGAAGGGACUGACUGGCAGCUGUACCUGACCUGAAUUUGGGGAGCUGUAAGGAAGGCCGCUGGGAUGGAGGGAUGGCCCAGUUUAUCCUGAGUAGAGCCCAUUCUUAGGAACCGCAAGAUAAAAUGGAAAAUGUCAUCUAGCCUGGAGAAAAAUGGACUCUCGCUCUUGGCCUCCCAAUAAUGGUCUGAUCCAAUCCACAUCCUCUGCAACCAUGUUUCUUCCUGCUUAGAAGAAAAGGGAUGAAAAGGACUUUUCUGCAGUCAGGCAGACCCGUGUCAACUGCGAGGUGAUCUCAGGUAGAUUGCAUGGCUUCUCUCAGUUUCGGUUUUCUUGU